GUCGCUCAAGAAGACUCAGAGUCCCAGGGUUCCUGUCUGACUCGAGUGAGGAAGUCCUGUAGAGAGCGAGUGUCCAACGAGAGGCAGAGCGCGCUGGAGAGCGAGCUGUCAAUUACUUUUACGCGAGACUGAAGGACAGACAGUCAACACACGCUCCUGAUAUUACAUCUGAGUGAGGACGACGCGCUUUUCUAAAAUGGUGUUGGACCCUCGAGGAGAGGUUGAUGUUGGAGAAGGAGAACUAGAAGACUGUGAAAAGAAAAAGCAGGAGCUGAAUUCACCAAAACAGACCAGCGGGGAGAUGGAGAACAUGGUGUCCACCAAUAGCAGCGAGGAAGGUUCCAGAACAGACCAAUUUGAGAGUGAAGAGAGGACCUUUGUGACCAAUCUGUACGGUUUCAUGAAGGAAAGAAGCAUGCCUAUAGAGAGAAUUCCCCAUCUUGGCUUUAAACAGAUCAACCUGUGGAAAAUCUACAAAGCUGUG
rnacentral:lncRNA from 1 species